rnacentral:pre_miRNA from 14 species
AGUUAGAAUGAACAAUUUGAAAAUUCAUUUGGAAUUGAAAGACCCCCAGAGCGGGGAGACCCUCACUCAAGUCUCAGGAUGACAUGACCCACCAAGAAUUCACGUGAGACU